rnacentral:rRNA from 1 species
AUGGGCGUAAGCCUGAACCAGCCAAGUAGCGUGCAGGAUGACGGCCCUAUGGGUUGUAAACUGCUUUUAUACGGGGAUAAAGUGCGCCACGUGUGGUGUUUUGCAGGUACCGUAUGAAUAAGGACCGGCUAAUUCCGUGCCAGCAGCCGCGGUAAUACGGAAGGUCCGGGGCGUUAUCCGGAUUUAUUGGGUUUAAAGGGAGCGUAGGCCGCAUGUCAAGCGUGUUGUGAAAUGCAGGUGCUCAACUCCUGGAUUGCAGCGCGAACUGUCGUGCUUGAGUGUGCGCAACGUUGGCGGAAUUCGUCGUGUAGCGGUGAAAUGCUUAGAUAUGACGAGGAACCCCGAUUGCGAAGGCAGCUGACGGGAGCAUAACUGACGCUGAAGCUCGAAGGUGCGGGUAUCGAACAGGAUUAGAUACCCUGGUAGUCCGCACGGUAAACGAUGGAUGCCCGCCGUCCGCCCUUUUAUUGGGCGUGUGGCCAAGCGAAAGCAUUAAGCAUCCCACCUGGGGAGUACGCCGGCAACGGUGAAACUCAAGGAAUUGACUG